CGCUGGCUGACAAGAAGAACUAUGCUUACAUAAAUAUGGAAGAUUGAACUGAGCGCUUAUACUGCUUGACAGAGUGAUUAGUCUGAAUAACAACAAGGAGAAAGAGAAACAGAAGCUUGACUUCAUCUUUAAUGAAACUGGGUGGCAUGCAUAAACCAUAGUUGCAAUGCAUGAAGACUGAAGGAGGCCGGGUGCAGUGGCUCACACCUGUAAUCUCAGCACUUUGGGAGGCCAAGGUGGGCGGAUCACCUGAGGUCAGGAGUUCGAGACCAGCUGGGCCAACAUGGUAAAACCCUGUCUCUACUAAAAGUACAAAAAUUAGCCAGGCAUGAUGGCGGGUGCCUGUAAUCCCAGCCACUUGGGAGGCUGAGGCAGGAGAAUUGCUUGAACCUGGGAGGCAGAGGUUGCAGCAAGCUGAGAUCGUGCCACUGUAUUCCAGCCUGGGUGACAGAGCCAGGCUCCAUCUCAAAAAAAAUAAAUAAAUAAAGACUGAAGGUGGAUGAAUGAGUGACAACAGACAGCAGAACGGAGUACGGUGAAGGCUUCAGGGAGGAUGUGAUGAGAAGCAGGAUAGCUGGUACCUUCAGGACUUUGGGAAGCCUUGAGAAUCAGAGGUGCUGGGUAAUGUAGAAGACAGGUGAGGAGUCGGCUCGCAGUGGGGGCACUGGUUGAAAGUCUCUUUGAAAAGCAAUUUGACUUCAGGUUCUCACCCCACUCUGGGAAGCCAGGCAACUGAGUCUUUUCUAUCCCCAAAAGAGGGAGGCUUAUUUUCUGGAGAAAUUGGACCUGACAAGCUCUGGGCUCAAGGGUAUCAGGUACACUGGAGUGUGGGGUCAGGCAGAAGGUGGCAAACAUGAAGUUAUCUCUUAGUUAGGAUGUUAGGGAAUCCUUCCUUGUAGGACCUGAGCUGUCCUACAUGUUCUGAUAGCUGGAGGCCCCUGAAAGCCCCCACUUAUGCAGGUAUAGCUUCCCAGAUUUUUAAGUGCCUCAUUCUUACAUAUGAUGAUAGCCAAUGAUCAUCAGACAUUUCAGGCAAUCCAAUGUGAAAUGCAAAUCAAGAGAAAACUGGAAUCAGGGGAGAAAAAAGUCCAUUCAGGUAGCAGGACAAAAUGUAAAACAAAUUAUAGUUUAAUGUCCUCUGAGAGACACGAGAAGAGAUGCAGCCAUGAAACAUAAACAUGACGCGGCCGGGCGCGGUGGCUCACGCCUCUAAUCCCAGCACUUUGGGAGGCCAAGGAGGGCGAGUCACGAGGUCAGAAGUUUGAGACCAGCCUGGCCAACAUGGUGAAACCCCGUCUCUACUAAAAAUACCAAUAUUAGCCGGGCGUGGUGGCACUUGCUUGUAAUCCCAGCUACUCGGGAGGCUGAGGCAGGAGGAUUGCUUGAACCUGGGAGGCAGAGGUUGCAGUGAGCUGAGGUCGCUCCAUUGCACUCCAGACUGGGCAACAAGAGCAAAACUCCGUCUCAAAAAACAAACAAACAAACAGAAACAAAAACAAAAAC
rnacentral:lncRNA from 10 species